UCGGGAAUUUUGGGCAAUGGGGGAAACCCUGACCCAGCAACGCCGCGUGAAGGAUGAAGUAUUUCGGUAUGUAAACUUCGAAAGAAUAGGAAGAAUAAAUGACGGUACUAUUUAUAAGGUCCGGCUAACUACGUGCCAGCAGCCGCGGUAAUACGUAGGGACCAAGCGUUGUUCGGAUUUACUGGGCGUAAAGGGCGCGUAGGCGGCAUGACAAGUCACUUGUGAAAUCUCUGGGCUUAACCCAGAACGGCCAAGUGAUACUGUCGCGCUAGAGUGCAGAAGGGGCAAUCGGAAUUCUUGGUGUAGCGGUGAAAUGCGUAGAUAUUCGCAGGAACACCAGUGGCGAAGGCGACUUGCUGGACUUAUGGUGACGCUGAGACGCGAAAGCGUGGGGAGCAAACAGGAUUAGAUACCCGUGUAGUCCCUGAGCGGGCUGGCAAGGCGCAU
rnacentral:rRNA from 1 species